rnacentral:rRNA from 1 species
AUUGAACGCUAGCGGGAUGCCUUACACAUGCAAGUCGAACGGAGUGGCGAACGGGUGAGUGAUGUAUCGGAACGUGCCCAGUAGCGGGGGAUAACUACGCGAAAGCGUAGCUAAUACCGCAUACUAUUAGAGCGGCCGAUAACGGAUUAGCUAGUUGGUGGGGUAACGGCUGACCAAGGCGACGAUCCUUAUCUGGUUGGAGAGGACGACCAGCCACACUGGAACUGUGACACGGCCCAGAAUCCUACGGGAGGCAGCAGUGGUGCAUGUUGGACAAUGGGGGAAACCCUGAUCCAGCCAGCCCGCGUGUGCGAUGAAGGCCUUCGGGUUGUAAAGCACUUUUGGCAGGAAAGCGGUACCUACAGAAUAAGCACCGGCUAACUACGUGCCAGCAGCCGCGGUAAUAC